UGGUAGAGCACCUGACUCUUAAUCAGGGUGUCCAGGGUUCGAGCCCCUGAAGGUGUACCA
rnacentral:tRNA from 1 species